rnacentral:rRNA from 1 species
UACGUAGGUGGCAAGCGUUGUCCGGAAUUAUUGGGCGUAAAGCGCGCGCAGGUGGUUUCUUAAGUCUGAUGUGAAAGCCCACGGCUCAACCGUGGAGGGUCAUUGGAAACUGGGGAACUUGAGUGCAGGAGAGAAGAGUGGAAUUCCACGUGUAGCGGUGAAAUGCGUAGAGAUGUGGAGGAACACCAGUGGCGAAGGCGACGUCACUGGCC